rnacentral:rRNA from 1 species
CCUACGGGAGGCAGCAGUGAGGAAUAUUGGUCAAUGGGCGUAAGCCUGAACCAGCCAAGUCGCGUGAGGGAUGAAGGUUCUAUGGAUCGUAAACCUCUGUUAUAAGGGAAUAAAGUGCGGGACGUGUCCCGUUUUGUAUGUACCUUAUGAAUAAGGAUCGGCUAACUCCGUGCCAGCAGCCGCGGUAAUACUGAGGCUCCGGGCGUUGUCCGGAUUUAUUGGGUUUAAAGGGUGCGUAGGCGGGCUUUUAAGUCAGCGGUGAAAGGCGGUGGCUCAACCAUAGAAUUGCCGUUGAGACUGGGAGGCUAGAGUAUGUGUGAGGCAGGCGGAAUGCGUGGUGUAGCAGUGAAAUGCUUAGAUAUCGCGCAGAACACCGAUUGCGAAGGCAGCCUGCCAGGCCAUGACUGACGCUGAGGCACGAAAGCGUGGGGAUCAAAAAGGAUUAGAUACCCUAGUAGUC